AACGAACGCUGGCGGCGCGUCUUAAGCAUGCAAGUCGAACGGCAAGGCAGGUGCUUGCACCUGCCCUAGAGUGGCGGACUGGUGAGUAACACGUGGGUGACAUGCCUUUAGUUGGGGAUAGCUACUAGAAAUAGUAGAUAAUACCGAAUGUGAUCAAUAUUUAUAGAUGAUGUUGAGGAAAGGAGCUAAGGCUUCGCUAAAGAUUGGCCCGCGGCCCAUUAGCUAGUUGGUAGGGUAAAGGCUUACCAAGGCGAUGAUGGGUAUCCGGCCUGAGAGGGUGAUCGGACACAUUGGGACUGAGAUACGGCCCAGACUCCUACGGGAGGCAGCAGCUAAGAAUAUUCCACAAUGGACGAAAGUCUGAUGGAGCGACGCCGCGUGGAUGAUUGAAGGCCGAAAGGUUGUAAAAUCCUUUUACACUGGAGGAAUAAGCAGAGUAGGGAAUGACUCUGUGAUGACUGUACAGUUUGAAUAAGCAACGGCUAAUUACGUGCCAGCCGCCGC
rnacentral:rRNA from 1 species